GGAGUUGUGGCUCAGCGGUAGAGCGCUUGCCUUGCGCGUGCGAGACCCUGGGUUCGAUUCUCAGCACCUCAU
rfam:Ictidomys tridecemlineatus contig108608, whole genome shotgun sequence.